rnacentral:misc_RNA from 1 species
UUUCCGUAGGUGAGCCUGCGGAAGGAUCAUUAAAGAGAAUAUGCCCUUCGGGGUAGAUCUCCCACCCUUUGUUUAUAUUACCUUUGUUGCUUUGGCAGGCCCGUCUUCGGACCACCGGCUUCGGCUGGUCAGUGCUUGCCAGAGGACCCUAAACUCUUAUUAUUAAUGUCGUCUGAGUACUAUAUAAUAGUUAAAACUUUCAACAACGGAUCUCUUGGUUCUG